GUCUACAGCCAUACCACCCUGAAUGUGCCCGAUCUCAUCUGAUCUCGGAAGCUAAGCAGGGUCGGGCCUGGUUAGUACUUGGAUGGGAGA
rnacentral:rRNA from 1 species